rnacentral:sRNA from 1 species
UUAAACCAGGCUUAUUGCUCAGUCUAAUUAUCUUAACUUCUAAAGGUUGGUUCUUUCUAGAGACAGCAGGAGUUGUAGCAUAUAGGGUUGGAAAAACCUGAAACACCCUUCUCGCUGCUUAAUCUAGUUCUGACAGCAGAGUGUGAGCUCUGGAGCUCUAAGCCAUGUGAAGCGUCUGACUCAGCCUGUGGCAGUGUUUUACCCAGAGCCCUCCCUUUUCAUAGCACAGCACCCUCCACUUUGCUUAGGCAUAGAUUACAUGCUUUGCGGGAAGGAAAGCCUGAGACCAAGACACACGUGAAGUUUAUGCAGCUCUGGGAAGAAAGCCAGCAGGUUAGAGUUGUGAGCUUUGUCUCACUAGUGUUUUGCCACCUGUAUGUAGCCCGUGGGCAGCAGACUCUUCUGCAGCUCUUACCCUACUCACAGAAGUUGUGGCGAAUUGAUUUAAAUUUUUAAAGGUUCUAAGAGACUUGCUAACAGAAGAGCAUAAUAAAGAGAACAAGAAAAUCUCAAAAGCCAUAUUUUAUAAUUAUAUGAAAACCAUCAUUCACUGUGGCAUAUCUCUGUUGAAGGGGACAGGACAUCCUCAAGGGAUCCCAUGGACACCCUGUGUGUUGGGGAGUGGGGAGGAAGAAGUGACCAGAAGGGGUGGGGAGCAGCGGACAGUCCACCCUGGUUCCUCACAUGCUGGGGAACCCUGUCACUGUACCUCGCCCAUGGGCUACUGCCACUUUAACGGACUAGGGCUCAGUGCCAGCACUUCCCAGGUAAUCAGGCGUGGUCUGACCCAGGAUCAAGAAGCACAUCAUCACCAAUGACAUCAUGACAGCAAGAGAACACAGCCCUCGCCAUGGUGCCAGGGCCCGUGCAAUGCAACGGGCUUCCACCAUCGACGUGGCAGCUGACAUGCUGGGCCUCUCUCUGGCAGGAAAUAUACAAGACCCAGAUGAGCCCAUUUUAGAAUUUAGCUUAGGUAGGUAUCUUUCAUUAUUUUUUUGUUUUAAAAAAUAUUUUACUUAAAAAUGAAAACAAAAACACUACCACCAGUGCAUGGGCUUGUCUCAGAGAGCUUGCUGCUGCUGCCACCACUGCUGCAGUGUUUCUGAGAAGACGGAGCCCUCACAGCUGUGAACUUCUGUGGAUGGGAAGGCACCUUGGAGGCUCCGUGCCCACAGGCUCUUGUCUCCUCAGCAUGGGGCCCGCCCCCUUGGGGGUAUGCUCUCCACAGGUGGCUGGGGACAGGGAGGUGAGCCCACCUAGAGCUGCCAACAGAGGUCCUCCCCACCCCCACCCCAAUGGGGGAAAGGGAAGGAGGGGUUGGGGAAACCGGGCAUAGAGUUCAGCUUUGUUGCCCCUGGCUGCAAGGCCUUGUGUUGGCUGAGUUUCGCUCUCUAGCCCUCAGUUCCCUAUUGUAUAAAAGGCAACAUUGGCACCUGCAUGCUCUCUUUCUCAGGAUCAGAUAAGAAUAUACUAAAAAGUGGAUCAGAAUGUGCUGAGUCUGGGGUCAGCGAUACGUGGCAUCACUGUGCUUUCCCAGGAGGCCUGAGACGCCUCUCCAUCAGAGCCCAAUGCUACCCAGCGCUCCUCUCCCCUUUUCCCAUUCCUUGGUCAACAUUAGUUGGUGGCCUGGCACCAAUGUCCAAGAGGUGGUGUGACAUAAAAGAGGCACCUCCUGGGGAGUCAGAUGACCUGGAUUCCAGCCCUGACCAUGCCAGGCUAACCACAUGGCCUUGAGCCUGCCACUCGACCUUGCUGGAACAAUUUCCUCCUGUGCUACAUGAGGAUGCUACUGCUUGUUUGAGAGACAAAGAAGAUCAAGGUGGUUAAGCACCCCCCAGCCCCAAAAGACUUGGACAAAUUGCAAAACCCAUAAAAGUGUAAGUACACUACUGGCCGGGUACAGUAGCUCACACCUGUAAUCCUAGCACUUUGAGAGGCUAAGCCAGGAGGAUUGCUUGAGGCCAGGAGUUUGAGAUCAGCCUGGGCAACAUAGCAAGACCCUGUUUCU